rnacentral:rRNA from 1 species
UCCGGAUUUAUUGGGUUUAAAGGGAGCGUAGGCCGGAGAUUAAGCGUGUUGUGAAAUGUAGUUGCUCAACAUCUGCACUGCAGCGCGAACUGGUUUCCUUGAGUACGCACAAAGUGGGCGGAAUUCGUGGUGUAGCGGUGAAAUGCUUAGAUAUCACGAAGAACUCCGAUUGCGAAGGCAGCUCACUGGAGCGCAACUGACGCUGAAGCUCGAAAGUGCGGGUAUC